AUAACGAGCGCAACCCUUAUCGUAGUUGCCAGCGGGGUAAAUGCCGGGAACUCUAGCGAAACUGCCGGUGUAAACCGAGAGGAAGGUGGGGAUGACGUCAAAUCAGCACGGCCCUUAUGUCCAGGGCUACACACGUGUUACAAUGGCCGGUACAGAGGGCAGCUACCUGUUGACAGGAUGCGAAUCUCGAAAGCCGGUCUCAGUUCGGAUCGGAGUCUGCAACCCGACUCCGUGAAGCUGGAUUCGCUAGUAAUCGCGCAUCAGCCAUGGCGCGGUGAAUACGUUCCCGGGCCUU
rnacentral:rRNA from 1 species